rnacentral:rRNA from 1 species
UAUGGGUUAGUGGCGGACGGGUGAGUAACGCGUGGGUAACCUGCCUUACACAGGGGGAUAACACUUAGAAAUAGGUGCUAAAACCGCAUAAGCGCACAGCUUCGCAUGAAGCGGUGUGAAAAACUCCGGUGGUGUAAGAUGGACCCGCGUCUGAUUAGCUUGUUGGCGGGGUAACGGCCCACCAAGGCGACGAUCAGUAGCCGGCCUGAGAGGGCGGACGGCCACAUUGGGACUGAGACACGGCCCAAACUCCUACGGAAGGCAGCAG